CCCGGUCACGCGCCCGCCCGCUCUAGUCCCGCGCGGACCCUGCCCGCGUUCGCCCCGGGCCCGGCUGCCCCGCGCGCCGCCAUGGAGCACAUCGAGGGGGCGGCCGUGGGCCGCUGCGCAGCCUCACCCUACCUGCAGCCGCUCACGCUGCACUACCGCCAGAAUGGCACCCAGAAGUCAUGGGACUUCAUGAAGACCCACGACAGUGUGACCAUUCUCAUGUUCAACUCUUCUCGGAGGAGCCUGGUGUUGGUGAAACAGUUCCGACCAGCUGUGUAUGCCGGUGAGGUGGAGCGCCUCUUCCCGGGGUCCCUGGCUGCCGUGGACCAGGACGGGCCCCAGGAGCUGCAGGUGGCACUGCCUGGCUCGGCAGGGGUGACGUACGAGCUGUGUGCCGGCCUCGUGGACCAACCUGGGCUCUCGCUGGAGGAAGUGGCCUGCAAGGAAGCUUGGGAGGAGUGCGGCUACCAGCUGACCCCCUCUGACCUGCGCCGGGUUGCUACGUACAAUCCUAGGUGACAAGGCCCGGGUGCUGGUUUGAGAUCACCUCACAAAGGACGUGUCUGAAUGAAGAGGGAGAGGCCUGGCUGGGCAUAUUCUUCUCAGCGCCUGCCUCCUUCACAAGCCGGCGGAAACUAGGCCUGGAAACCCCACAGACUAGCCGCUUCCAUCAAAGGCGCAGGCUGUGGCCGCCGGCGGAAAUGGGCCAUCAGGAAGGGUCCGAGGGAGAUUAAGGGGCUGGAGGGCAGAGGAAGCAGCUGGGUGAGGAAGAGCUCACCUGAUUAGGUCAGGCCCAUCCAGGAUCAUCUCCCUUUUGACGAACUUGAAGUCACCUGAUUAGGGCCCUUAACUACAUCUGCGGGAUUUCCCACCUUCAUCACCUGACCUCUCCUGAUCAUGUUGGGAACCUAAGCAUGUUGGGAAGUCAUAUCCAACACAUUACCAGGUUUCCCCCACACUCCAGGGGAGGGGAUUACCUGGAGUGGGUACACUGGGGUGGGGGUCAGAGAGGGCAGUGGGGGUGUGUCCUGAAGGGGUGGGAUGGGGAGGACUGUGGGAGGGGCAGGGGUGGCCGGCAGGGCCUGUGUGGACGCCUUC